UUGGGCCAAGUUGCUGACGAACUUGGGGGAGGGGUUUUGCCUUACCUAAGCUACCUGUUUGCUUGUAACAAUGAGAAUUGAAUGAAAGAUGGCGGACUGAUAACACAGCCAUAUGUUAGUCUAAUUUUUACAAACCCUUCCCACAGUUCUGGUACCCCAAAAUUAUGUUUCAGGACCUUGACCCCAUUCCAGAAAACCCAUUCGUACAUGUGGCCGCUGGGCAGCUAUAGCUGAUCUUGUGCAGGUCAGCUUUAGUUAAUUUCAAGGUCGUGUGUGACUGCCAAGUUGUCCCAUGGAGUGGCGAAGCAGCAACCCAGACACACCUGGCUCAAGGACCAAGCACAUGGACACUGCGUGAAGACGGAGCAUGCAGAUUAGGGCCCCUUUCUUCUUUAAAUGAAGUCAGUUAUACGGAAUUACAAACACAUCCCCUCCGAAAUGAAACUUCCAAGACUGAAUUUUCCUGAAUAAAACAAAACAUCAAAAUUCAA